UACGGGGGGGGCAAGCGUUGUUCGGAAUUAUUGGGCGUAAAGGGCGCGUAGGCGGUUGGAUAAGUCAGCUGUGAAAACCACGGGCUUAACUCGUGGCCUGCAGUUGAGACUGUCUGGCUUGAGUGUGGGAGAGGAGAGUGGAAUUCCUGGUGUAGCGGUGAAAUGCGUAGAUAUCAGGAGGAACACCGGUGGCGAAGGCGGCUCUCUGGACCACAACUGACGCUGAGGCGCGAAAGCUAGGGGAGCAAACAGG
rnacentral:rRNA from 1 species